UUAUUUUUUUCCGAUUCUCGGAGAUUCUUUCUCUUACAUUUUUAUUCCUUCUUUAGCCUCCUCCUAUCAAGAUUCGACGCACCAUUGAUAUCACCAGGGAGGUUGAUGAGACUGUUUGCAAACCUAAUGACGAAGAGGUCACCACCAUAUAUCUCGGUCAUAAUUUUCGUUCAUGUCACAAUUCCGUUGAACGUUCUAUCAAAUUUCUACACUCCGAAAGUAGUUUUGAAAUAUUAUUGCUGGUUUUUGAAAGAACUCAAGUAUUUCGAAAGCUAAUUAUC